rnacentral:tRNA from 1 species
GAGGGUAUAGCUCAAUGGUAGAGCGCACGCCUUGCAUGCACAAGGUCCUGGGUUCAAUCCCCAGUACUGCCA